rnacentral:tRNA from 1 species
UCCCUGGUAGUCCACUGGUUAAGACUCUAUGCUGCCAAAACAGGGGGUCCAGGUUCAAUCCCUGGUCAGGAAA